CCGCUGAACUUAAGCAUAUCAAUAAGCGGAGGAAAAGAAACUAACCAGGAUUCCCUUAGUAACUGCGAGUGAAGUGGGAAGAGCUCAAAUUUGUAAUCUGGUGGCCUGUGGCCGUCCGAGUUGUAAUCUAAAGAAGUGCUACCUGCGCUGGACCGUGUACAAGUCUUCUGGAAUGGAGCAUCACAGAGGGUGAGAAUCCCGUCUUUGACAUGGACUGCCAGUGCUUAAUAGGUGUGCUCUCGAAGAGUCGAGUUGUUUGGGAAUGCAGCUCAAAAUGGGUGGUAAAUGCCAUCUAAAGCUAAAUAUUGGCGAGAGACCGAUAGCGAACAAGUACCGUGAGGGAAAGAUGAAAAGAACUUUGGAAAGAGAGUUAAACAGUACGUGAAAUUGCUGAAAGGGAAACGCUUCAAGUCAGUCGCGUCGGUCGGAAAUCAACCUUGCUUUUGCUGGGUGCACUUUCCGUCCGAUGGGUCAGCAUCAAUUUUGGUCGCUGGAUAAAGUUCCUUGGGAAUGUGGCAUCCUCGGAUGUGUUAUAGCCCUUGGGACACAUGCGGCGGUCGGGAUUGAGGAACUCAGCACGCCGCGAGGCUGGGCUUUGUCCACACGAACGUGCUUAGGAUGCUGGCGUAAUGGCUUCAAUCGACCCGUCUUGAAACACGGACCAAGGAGUCUAACAUGCCUGCGAGUGUUUGGGU
rnacentral:rRNA from 1 species